UCGAGGAUCUUCGGCAAUGGGCGCAAGCCUGACCGAGCGACGCCGCGUGUGCGACGAAGGCCUUCGGGUUGUAAAGCACUGUCGAGGGGGAGGAAAGCCCGAAAGGGUCUGACCUAUCCCUGGAGGAAGCACGGGCUAAGUUCGUGCCAGCAGCCGCGGUAAGACGAACCGUGCGAACGUUGUUCGGAAUCACUGGGCUUAAAGGGCGCGUAGGCGGGCGAUCAAGUCAGGGGUGAAAUCCUCCAGCUUAACUGGAGAACUGCCUCUGAUACUGGUCAUCUUGAGUGAGGUAGGGGCGUGCGGAACUGAUGGUGGAGCGGUGAAAUGUGUUGAUAUCAUCAGGAACUCCGGUGGCGAAAGCGGCGCGCUGGACCUUAACUGACGCUGAGGCGCGAAAGCCAGGGGAGCGAACGG
rnacentral:rRNA from 1 species